ACUCCUACGGGAGGCAGCAGUGGGGAAUAUUGCACAAUGGGCGCAAGCCUGAUGCAGCCAUGCCGCGUGUAUGAAGAAGGCCUUCGGGUUGUAAAGUACUUUCAGCAGUGAGGAAGGUGGGUAUGUUAAUAGCAUACUCAUUUGACGUUAGCUGCAGAAGAAGCACCGGCUAACUCCGUGCCAGCAGCCGCGGUAAUACGGAGGGUGCGAGCGUUAAUCGGAAUUACUGGGCGUAAAGCGCAUGCAGGUGGUUUGUUAAGUCAGAUGUGAAAGCCCGGGGCUCAACCUCGGAAUUGCAUUUGAAACUGGCAAACUAGAGUACUGUAGAGGGGGGUAGAAUUUCAGGUGUAGCGGUGAAAUGCGUAGAGAUCUGAAGGAAUACCGGUGGCGAAGGCGGCCCCCUGGACAGAUACUGACACUCAGAUGCGAAAGCGUGGGGAGCAAACAGGAUUAGAUACCCUGGUAGGGUCUGC
rnacentral:rRNA from 1 species